AUUCCUUCUAGCAUAUCUAAUAAAAUUUAAAUGAUACAGAGAAAAUUAUCAUGGCCCCUGUGUAAGGGUGACAUGCAAGAUCGUGAAGUUAUAGCACAUUUA